UACAGAGGGUGCGAGCGUUGUUCGGAAUUACUGGGCGUAAAGGGCUCGUAGGCGGCCAACUAAGUCAGACGUGAAAUCCCCCGGCUUAACCUGGGAACUGCGUCUGAUACUGGAAGGCUUGAGUUCGGGAGAGGGAUGUGGAAUUCCAGGUGUAGCGGUGAAAUGCGUAGAUAUCUGGAGGAACACCGGUGGCGAAGGCGGCAUCCUGGACCGAAACUGACACUGAGGCGCGAAAGCCAGGGGAGCAAACGGG
rnacentral:rRNA from 1 species